CUUCAUUCUAGAAUUCACUUAAACUCUACCAAACUGCAGGCCUCACUCUCAUAGGGACAAAGCUCAUCCUAUGAUGAUUAUCCUAUGACAGGAAAAGCAGAUUAAAUGUGUCCUUAGUACCCCCAGGGCACUGAGUUAAUCAUUCACUGUUAUUCCCUUGCCGGGAAGGUGUGAGAUGUAGAAGAGAUAAGGUAUCCCAUCCAUGCUUUUCACUCUUGGAAGCAGAAUGGAAAUUCUCUUCCUUUAUGCAGAUAUAAUUAGUGGGGACUAAGUGUUUGCUCCUAAUAACCUCUAUGAUGUUAUCUGUACAUAAGGGGAUUCAAAAAGGAUGUCUUUUUUAGUAAUAACGAUGUUAUACGAUGAAAGUCAAUCACUAACACCAAAAAAAAAUCUCUAUGAUCAAUUACAAGAGUUGUUAUACAAUUCUAAUUAUGAAAAACAAAAAAAACCAAACAGGAAAACAGGGAGUUUCAUAAAUGAUUUGAGGCUACUAUAAUACAAACACUCUGUGCUCACUAAAAUGUUAAGAAAAUUCACACAUAUUGAAGUUUGUCCAAAAAGUAACAGCAGUUUAGAUAAGCUCAUAAACAUGGUUUGCUCCCAAGCCAAAGUGUAUCAACCCAAGUCAUGUUGUUUGGAGAAUCUGAAGAAAGUGUGAAAAUUUCUAUCAUCCCCACAAAGAAGAGAUAGGAGAUCAGGAGAAUAGAGAGGAGAGAUGGGUUGUACUCAAAAAGAGCAAUGAACACCUGCCUUGUGUGCAGCAUGGGUUUCUCACAAGUGCUGACAUGGGCAAACACUCCAGGGAUCAGGGGGAAUUGGUGAUCUAGUAAAAUAUGGUCUUUAGCUAAAGGUCAAAUGAAAUUGUACUGGAAACCUUGGGGAUACUUUAAAGUGGGAACUAAAGACAGGGGCUGCUCAUUAGAGCUUUUGCUUAAGUACCAGUUUCACUUUAUCAGGGAAAUUGUUCAUUUGUGUGAAAAUGUGACCUCUGUCAGUUUGCCAAGCAGGCUGGACCCUGGGGUGAUCUCAGGCUCACGUGUGCCUGCAGAAGUUAAAGCUACCUGGGGACUACUUUCAAAGGACAUUGCCAAGGAGGUGGAAAAGGUCGAGUCAUGCUGAACAUUAAGAUUGGAAAUAGGUAAGCCAGCACAAGCCAACAUGCAGUGCAGCUCACUGUCACAGCCAGAAGGAGCUAAUUGUAUUAGUUAUGGUAAUAGUGCCCUCCAGAGGACUUCUGCAGGAAUUCGAAAGGCAUAGGGAAAAUUAAAGGUGGUGAAGAUAAUGGAUUUAAAUACAUACUUAUAAAGCAAGUUAACAUAUUAAUCUUGCCUAGAUAAUUAAAAUAUACUUAGAAUAUAUUUUAAAUUUAGUGCUGAAAGCUAACACUAUCUUCAUAAAAAUAUCAACAAGCAAACAUGAUUUAAAUAUUUUAGGCCAUUUGUGAAUCCAUACUUAUAUUCUUGGUAUAUUCUAAAAAAUGUGAUAUGUUAUUUUAAAGUUAAAUCCAGGAAACAGUAAAGGACUGAGAUUAACGAGUUUAAAUUUGUGAUCCUGUUGUUACUUUUCCUUUGUGGUAUUUCUGAGUCUUCAGAAUUUAGUGUAAACAGUGGUAUAUUCUAACAUUAAUAUCUAGUAUCAUUGAAAUGAGGCAAAAUUAUAACAAGCACGAUCAAUUAUUGAAAGUAAAUGAAAUGGGAGACUCCAAAGCACCAGAUUAUAGACAGUAAGCCCCACUUACACCACAAAAUAUUAACGAGAUAAAAAUAGGUGAUAAAUAACUAAAUGAAAAUAAGAGGCCUCUGUGUUUAUCAUUUAAAUAUUUAUACUUUCUUAAUUUUAAAGAAUGAAUAAUGAUUAUUUCACAUAAUGAUUUAUUUUAAUUAUCAUCAAAAUUGCUUCUGCUACUUUAUUAUGUUAGACACUUAGGCAAAUGCUGGGAAAAGGGAAUUCAUAUUUAAUGAUUUCACUGCUUUUUACCUCACUCACCAUUGUUAGCCACCCAUCAUAAUGAUUUUCUGCAUUUGAAAUUGUUUCUGUAAUUUACUAAAAUAGCUAUGAAUAAUUGAAAUUUUUCUCUUGACGUUUAAUAUUAUAAACCACAAAAAGAACAAGAGUGAAAAAAUAAUAACAAAGGAAUGAGAACAACAAAUAAAAAACAGUAACAAAUAUGGUAGAUAAGUUAA
rnacentral:lncRNA from 1 species